rnacentral:rRNA from 1 species
UACGUAGGGACCGAGCGUUGUCCGGAAUCAUUGGGCGUAAAGAGCUUGUAGGCGGUUUGUCGCGUCUGCUGUGAAAUCUCAAGGCUCAACCUUGAGCUUGCAGUGGGUACGGGCAGACUAGAGUGUGGUAGGGGAGACUGGAAUUCCUGGUGUAGCGGUGAAAUGCGCAGAUAUCAGGAGGAACACCGAUGGCGAAGGCAGGUCUCUGGGCCACUACUGACGCUGAGAAGCGAAAGCAUGGGGAGCGAACAGG